rnacentral:rRNA from 1 species
AGGCUUUGAUCCUGGCUCAGGAUGAACGCUAGCGGCAGGCUUAAUACAUGCAAGUCGAACGGUAACAGGUGUAGCAAUACAUGCUGACGAGUGGCGCACGGGUGCGUAACACGUAUGCAACCUACCCUUUACUGGGGGAUAACCCUGAGAAAUUAGGGCUAAUACCCCAUGGUAUUCAGAGGAGGCAUCUUUUUUGAAUUAAAGAUUUAUUGGUAAAGGAUGGGCAUGCGUCCCAUUAGUUAGUUGGUGAGGUAACGGCUCACCAAGACUGUGAUGGGUAGGGGUUCUGAGAGGAUUCACCCCCACACUGGUACUGAGACACGGACCAGACUCCUACGGGAGGCAGCAGUAAGGAAUAUUGGGCAAUGGGCGAGAGCCUGACCCAGCCAUGCCGCGUGCAGGAAGACGGCCUUAUGGGUUGUAAACAAU